rnacentral:rRNA from 1 species
CCUACGGGUGGCAGCAGUGAGGAAUAUUGGUCAAUGGGCGGGAGCCUGAACCAGCCAAGUCGCGUGAGGGAAGACGGUCCUAUGGAUUGUAAACCUCUUUAGUCGGGGAGCAAUGCCUGGCACGCGUGCCCUGCGGGAGAGUACCCGCAGACUAAGCAUCGGCUAACUCCGUGCCAGCAGCCGCGGUAAUACGGGGGAUGCGAGCGUUAUCCGGAUUUAUUGGGUUUAAAGGGUGCGUAGGCGGAUUUUUAAGUCAGCGGUAAAAUGUCCGGGCUCAACCCGGGCCGGCCGUUGAUACUGGGGAGCUUGAGUGGGCGAGAAGUAGGCGGAAUGCGUGGUGUAGCGGUGAAAUGCAUAGAUAUCAGGAGGAACACCGGUGGCGAAGGCGGCCUGCUGGACUGCAACUGACGUUGAGGCCCGAAAGCGUGGGGAGCAAACAGGAUUAGAUACCCUUGUAGUC